UACGUAGGGUGCGAGCGUUAAUCGGAAUUACUGGGCGUAAAGCGUGCGCAGGCGGCUAUGCAAGACAGAUGUGAAAUCCCCGGGCUCAACCUGGGAACUGCAUUUGUGACUGCAUGGCUAGAGUACGGUAGAGGGGGAUGGAAUUCCGCGUGUAGCAGUGAAAUGCGUAGAUAUGCGGAGGAACACCGAUGGCGAAGGCAAUCCCCUGGGCCUGCACUGACGCUCAUGCACGAAAGCGUGGGGAGCAACCAGG
rnacentral:rRNA from 1 species